CCGGUUCAGCCGGAGGCGGUCACGUCCAAGGUGAGCGACCCGAUCAGAGUUACGGAUCCGGUUACGGUGGUCAGACGGAGGCUGAGUACGGUAGGAGACCUGAAUCGGGGUACGGCGGAGCGACGGAGACGGAGUAUGGCCGGAGACCUGAGCAGAGUUACGGAUCUGGUGGCUACGGUGGCAGAUCGGAGGUUGAGUCUGGUGGUUACGGUGGCAGAUCGGAGGUUGAGUCUGGUGGCUACGGUGAUAGAUCGGAGGUUGAGUCUGGUGGAUACGGUGGAAGAUCGGAGUCUGGUGGUUAUGGUGGAAGAACGGAGGUUGAGUAUGGCCGGAGACCUGAAUCUGGAUAUGGUGGGAGAUCGGAGACGGAGACCGGGUACGGAUCCGGGUAUGAGAAGAAACCGAGCUUCGGCGAGGAGAGGAGCGAGUAUGAGCGCAAGCCUAGCUAUGGAAGGUCUGAGGAUCAAGAGGAAGGAGGUUACAGGAAGCCUAGCUAUGGGAGAUCUGAGGAUCAGGUUGAGAGCUACAUAAAGCCCAGCAGCUACGGGAGGUCUGAGGAAGAGGAAGGAGGAGGCUAUAGGAAGCCUAGCUAUGGAAGGUCUGAGGAACAGGAGGAAGGGAGUUACAGGAAGCCUAGCUAUGGCCGUCGUAAUGAUGAUGAUGAUGAUGAGGAGCGCAGGAACCGUUCUGGUGAUGAUGAGGAAGGGAGCUAUGGCCGCAAGAAAUAUGUAAGUUCAAUAAGUUAAAGUUAUAGUCAAUUUGCAUCUAGAUUAUUGUGUGGAAAAUAAGUUUGAUUGUUUAAACAUAAAACCCUUUUGUUGAUGGACUGAUCUCAACAUUGAAACUAAAGAUUAUAGUUUUGGUGAUAACACCCAUUACCCCCUUUAACUUCAUUGGUUCAGUAUUUGAUUUAACAGUGACAUCGUGUAGGUUAUAACAAUCAUAGUACAGAACUUACAUUGUGUUUUUUGCAUCUAGUUUGUUUUGAAAAUAAGUUUUAGUUUGGUUUUGAUCACAGUGUAGCUGUGUAACUCUGUUUUCACAUCCUGAAAUGGAUUUCCUUAAUUUGAAAGCUAUGUUCUACAAUCCCAUAAUAACGUUCCUGGUUCAAUGUUUGUUUGAAUAUAGACAUCUUGAAUAUGUCCCAUUGUUGAUCUUAGUGUAGAGUAGUCUCCAUGUUGAACUAAAGUGUUUGUCUUUCAUUCCCUGUAACUCUGUUUUCACAUCAUGGAAUGGAUUAGCCUCGGUUGAAAGCUAAGUUCAGUGUUUGAUUGAAAUUGCACAUCAUGUAUAUGACAUUUGAAGAUCAUAGUUACAGAGUAUCUAUCUCCAUUCUUAUGGUGGCCGUUAAUAGAGGCAUCACUGACUAAAGUUUUCGCUUAACGUUAUUCAUUUCUGCAUCAAAAUUUGUAGGGUGGCAAUGACUCUGAUGAUGAUGAGGAGAAGAAGCAGCAUCGUUACAAGCAUCACCACCACCAGAGGCGUCGUGAUGAAGACGAUGACUAAAGCCCUCACUCAGUGCUGGAAUCGAGUGCUUCUACUUAGCUUCAUAUUACUAAAUAAAAAGCUAAGUCAUAUUUAUCUUUGGAUGUUGUUGUUGUGUUUGUUUGAUUCUCUCUAGAUACAGCAGAGUCUGUGUCUGGGUUUGUUUCUGGUUCAUUAUAAGACCUUGAAUUGAUAUCGGGUCAUCAUCAUGAUGUAAACUGUUGCUACUCUGUGUUUCGUUUUUAUGUUAUGGAACUUUUCUCUUUUAUGGCUUCUGUUGUUUUGGUUUUGUCGAUAUUAUUAAUAUUAAAAAUCAAAAGUCAUUGCCGAGAAGGAAAAAUAUUUUGUGGUAAAAGCUCGAUUUUUUAUAUUGAAUAUUUUAUGAUUAAAAACAGAAAAAGGAAAAUCGGUUUUGUAAUAGGAAUGGGUUAAUCAGAUACCUAUAUGUACAUUACACAUCUUUUUGCUUCAACAUCAGAAACUUACAACCAAACAAUUCUAAAAGAAGCAAUGUCAAGCGCUACAGUCCUCGAUGAAUCUAGCGUUCCUAGCCCCAGGAGUACAUGGAGGUGAGAUUCCACUAAAUAUAUUGUUAUGUAACAUAAGAUUUUUGAUUAUAAACAUUAUACCGAAACGAAUUUUCUGGUUGGUUGCAGGAUGGACGGGCAGUUACGAUACGACAUUGCGAUGAACACCAUCAUUAUAAUCCUCAUCACUGAUGCGGUCUUACAUAUGACUCUGAGAGCCCACAAGAUUCCCCUUGCUGAUAACGUUGAGGGACUUUUAUGUACAUUUGUAGUUGCGUACGUGUUUGUCAUCACGACUAAUUGCGGGUAUUGGCUUACAGCAAGCGAGGAAGAAGGGUGUUUACUUGGAAUUUACAUCACGGGACGCCUUGGUCACACGUUAGGCUUUUGUAUUUUCCUCUGUCUCCUCUAUUCUAUUUCUCACUUGGCUAUGUACGUUGCUCUACCUUGUUUACUAUGGUUGGUGCCAGCCAUGUUUGCACCGUGUUGUCCAUGUCUGUGGAGAGGAGAGUCAACUUGGUGGAAUUUUGUGAAGCAACCACAACCAACAGUAGAUAUUGUUUAACUUUUGGACUAUUAUUAUUAAUAGAAUUUUUUAAUUCCUAAUUUUGUAAACAUCUCGUCAAUUGUUUGUUCUUAACUUUUCUCUCUUGCGAUCGGUGAAUUUUGUUUCCACUGUCUACCCAUAAACCUCGUGUUGACAUGUGUUUUGCGAUCUAACAAGAUAUUAUUAUGGUUUAGGGAUUGUUUUAGACAUCAAUCCUCUUUUGAUAUGGCUGAAGAAAAUUAAGAGUUCCUAGUCUUGAUUUGUUCCUGCUUAAUGUAAUUUGGGGAAAGUGAUCAUUUAUCUUUUGGUACAUUAUCAUUGUGUGUUGCAUGCAAAGUAUCAAUCUACUUGGAACUUAACAUUGCGUUAUUUGCAUCUAGCUUGUUUGGAAAAUAAGUUUUAAUUUGGUUUAAUCCCGUUGUUGAUCACAGUGUAGUGUGAUCUCAAUGUUGAACUAAAGAUAUCUUUAGUUUGUUCUUUAGAUUCUUUAUGAGUUACUACAAGCCUUUGUCUGCUUCCCUUUGGUUACAGGCUUGUCAUUACUAGUUGUAGAUCAUCAUUGAUUUUGCAGAACAAAAGAUGCAGAAGCUGUCCCAAAUAAGGACACAAGGACAUAAGUUUGUGCUUUAGAUCCUUUAUGAGUUUAUCUUCAGUUUUUGCGUUUUAGAUCCUUUAUGAGUUAUUACAAACCUCUCGACUCUUGUAAGGACAUAAGAUCUGUGCAUUAUCUGGUUACUGGCUGUACAAAGAGCUUGUCAAUUACUAGGUGUAGAUCAUCAUUGUUUCUGUUUGUUAAGAUGCAUUGAUGACACCUUACUCAUUGAUUCCCGAAACAAAAGAAGCAUAAGCUCUCUGAAAUAAGGCGUGGCCGCAAAAAUGCUAAAGUGUUGGUAUGUAGUCUAAGGCAUAGAUCGAAUAAAGCAGCGUUUUCCUUAUUGUCCCUUUGCUUUGUACAUUUUCUUAUUCACCAGAUUAGAAAAAUGGAUCUUGAAGCCAGGAGCCUUCCACCAAGCAUUAAGUCCAGCCUCCUUGUCAAACUAAGAGAGUUUUCAAGUCUGAUCUCAACAACUUCAAAAGCGAAGUCAAGAGAUCGAUGAGGUCAACUGAUGGAUUGGGUCGAACCACAGACAGAAUCAAGAGACUGAAGAGCUUGGCGUCUCAGUCCUCCAAGACUUGCACAGUCAGAGACAGUCUUCCUCUCCUACGCACUAACGACACGGUAUGUGCUCUCUUCAACAAUUUUCUCUUACACGGGUUUUAUCAUGAAGAAGAAUACUACGUGUGAUUGGCAUCUCUUUUAACCAAUAGCUCGUUCUCUGAUACAUACAGCUUAGUGGAGUAGACGACAAUGUAGGAAAAAGCAAGAAGACCUUGACAGGCAUGACUAGGAGGAUGAACAGGAACAAAUGGACCAUUGGAGCCAUUAUCACCGCUUUGGUCGCCGCCAUUAUCCUCAUCUUCUACUUCAAACUCACCAAGUAAGCCUCUGUAUCUAAACUCUUUGUCGCUGAACAAAUGGUGUGCUGUAAGUAGUAACAGCUGAUGACGAGGAAGAAGAUAGAAGGAAGCUAAGACUCUGAGGGACAAAGAGGCUUCUGCAGUUACAGUGAAGCUACUGUAUAAAUAAUAUUAUAGAGGGAGUGAAAGAGAGACUUUAUCGAUGUAUUAGCUCAUGCCUCAUAGUUCCAGUUGAUACUCUGUAUUGUGAGAGAGAGUGAUACAGUUGUAUUGUGUGUGUUAUGGAUCAAUAGAGAUUUGGUUCAUGACAUCUGGCUUUUAUCUGUGUGAUAAGUUAUGUCUUUGCCACCUUUUGUAUUAUCACGUUCUCUUGUUUGUGUUUGCGUUUACAGUUGUGUAUUUUUAUACUAAAUGAUGCAGAUUGUUUUGUUUAUUAUUAAAAGCAAGCGUAAAUUACAUUUUAGACAAUUAGAACUUAAGCCUUGAGAAUAAGAACUAGUUGUGUGUUUUUCUUUCAUUCUUGAACCUGUUAUAAUCAGCGAGCAAGCUAUCAAUAACCUUACGCUUCAUGCUAUCCACCAAACCAGUCAAAAUCUGUAUAAACCUGGAAUAUAGCUGGUUCAUAAUAAGACCUUGAACUGAUAUUGGGUCAUCAUUAUGUAAACAGCUGCGACUCUGUGUUUUGUUUUUGUGCUAUGAAAAUUUCUUAUUUUAAAGCAUAACUUCUAUUGUUUUUCUUUUGUCCAUAAGAAAAUUUAUUUUGUCGUUAAAACCAAUGUGACCACACAAAACCACUUAUCUAAUCUAAUCUAGAAACAAUAUGAAACAAGCUUACUGCCAAAGACAUACACCACAGUUACAACCACCUUUGAAAUCGACAUUCCAAGUAUAAACCAUCUUGGCCACAUGCUGUGAACAGUGGUUGAUCCUUCAGCUUCCUUACGCAGCUGUGAAGGUUCCAAAGAAGAGUGCGAUGACAAGCCACAGUAAGAACCAUCCAGUAUUGAGUUUUCUCCUCAGUGUCUCCGCUUUGUUGGCUUGUGGAGUUGUGCCAAGUUGAAGUACGUCGCCACGAAGCCAAUGUUGUUGAGCAGGAGAUAGACAGUGUAACAUCGCGUGUCUCUGAAACGUAUGUAGCCAUUUGAAUCGAGUCCACCAGGUGGACUUGAGAAGGAAGCCACCGUGGUUAGGCCACCGAUGGCCAACACGAACUUGGUAAGUUCUUCUUGCUCUUUGUAAAGAGCCUCCAAAGGAUCCUGAAAUAAAUAAAGCGUAUGUAGCCAUGUGAUGUGGACUUGAGAAGGAAGCCAAUGUGGUUAGGCCACCGAUGGCCAACACAAACUUGGUAAGUUAUUCUCGCUCUUUAUUAAGAGCCUCCAAAGGAUCCUACAAUAAAGUGUACAAAUUUUGUAACUCAAAUCUUUUCCUCAUUCUCAGACAUCUCUCGCAGAAGACAUACUAACCGGUUUGCCUGAGAAAUAUAAAACUAAAUGUUUAAAGUACAUGCUUCUUAUAAAAUCAAUCUACAACUAUUCAAUAAAACUUGAUUUGCUUUUAUUAAACCCAUUAAAAGCAUUUACACACUCAAUCACACAACUAUACUUAAAUGCCACGACUUUCUCUUGUUCUAAAUAACUUUACGUCUUUACAUGUGUCUCAUUUGUAGACUUUCGUUACUACAUGUAACAUUUUUUCCAUGACUUUCAUGACCCGAAAUGAAGCUUUAAAAGUUCGUGAAACUAGUUUUCAAUAUAACAGUUCAUCAACUUAUCAACACAUUUACCUUAAUAUUCUAUGUUCCAAUAAAAUAAACAAACUUACUGCGAUUAUCGACGAAAUGGAGCUGAGGUUGAGGAAAGUCCUUGAUUUCCUAUCUUCAACAAAAAUAAAAAAGUAAAGAAAUGUUUUGCUAUUACAACAGCUUAUGUAGUGAUUCAGAUAAAACAAAAAAAUAAACACAACCUUCUGAUUGAUGCCACAUGAAAAAUGAUCAAUGUCUCUAAGCUUCUCAUCCUAAACGCCUUCCCCAUACAAUUUACAAAAUUUCUUCUCCUCUACAACUUUUGUCGUUAUGCGAAGAUUGUGAACCUCUGUUCAUUAAAUCGAUUGGGCUUUUUUUUCUUUCUUUUUUAGUAUCAUGUGCUUAAAGAUCCUAUUAUAAUAUUCUAAGUACGUUUUUCAUAGACGAGACAUCCCAAAUUUUUAUCUUUACUUUUCCUACACCAAUUCAUAGCUAUUUAUAUUUUGACGCAAACUAUAUAAAAUCGGAUCAGUUUACUCAAAACCCAGUACGUGGCUAAUCGUAAAAGAUACAUAGAAGUAUUCAACAAAUCAUUUCAUAUCAUUCAUUCAUUCACCCACAAAGAGCUCUCAAAUUGGUUUCGCAACUACAAAACAUCGAAUCCGUUCUUGGAUUAGGGUUUUGAGAUUGAGUCUCAUCAAUUUUUUUUGUUUCUUAUUGUAGAAAAGUUUCACUUUGAGCUACAAGACAACUACUAGUGAAGGAGACCAGACAGUUCCAGAUCCGUUUCCAAAGUUGUUGGAUAUUUUAGGACCAUCUUUAGUACAUUUGUUCUUCGUCCCUGAGAAAAGAGGAGGAUCGAGUUAGGUUAAAUUUGCUACAGGUUAUGUCAAAUUGUGCGGGAGAAUGUCGGUAGUAAAAUGAACUUACUUAUGCACCUUAGUGUUUGUUAUCACACCUGAGUGUGUUGAGAUUCACAAUCUGAUUUUGAUGGAAGAAAGCGGGAAGAAACUAGUUAGCUACUUUCUUGAGAAUUCAUUUGUUCUCAAGAAACUCAUCCCGCGUUUUAGGGAUUCUUUAAUAUAUCUUACUCAGAUUUCUUCAAGGAGCUUCUUAAAUUCAGAAAGCGGUCUUGCAGUUGUCCGAUUAUUUUUCUUUGAGAAAUUGGCGAUUAGAGUUCAUUAUUUAUUUUGAUUUUGAGUAUCAUUGUGUAUGAAUUUCGUAUGGAUUGUAGAUUUUAUUAAAACCUGUUUCAUAAAGAUUUAUUUUUUGAUGGAAAAAGAGUAAACGACUUUAUAAGAUUUUGUUGCAGUUAAAAAUUAAAAGAUAAACAAUUAUAUAUUAUGUAUUUAUUUAUGAAAUAAGAAAAUUAAUUAAUACUUGAUUUGAUAUUGUUAUCUUUAAGAAAUUUUAUACAUUCCAACAUGUUAAUAAAAUUGAUUACAUUAAAUAUAUCAACCGUGGCAGUUACAGCCCCCGAUUAAAGCAUUUGAUCUAGUCAGUAGAUUUCUUGGAAAUCAAGUUUCGAUUCCAUUUCAUUUGUGCAUGUUAAACGCCGAAGUAAUAGCUGUGCUGACUUAAAACAGAUCGGAGGUUUACUGAAUUUGAAUUUGGUCGACUUUGAGAAGGUGAACAAAAUUCGACUGUGAGUUAUUUCAAAAACGUUUUUAUUGAUAAGAUGAAAAAGAGGUUACAAUGUUUGGACAUGUAAAGUAUAAAACACAAAUAUAAGUUGUUGUUUUUAACACUAGAUAAAUUACCAAUUACUAAUGAACAACUAUACAGAUAAUAAAGAGCCUACAAUACUUUGAAAUGUUCGAAGAGCUUUGCAUCUAAGAAUCUGUAAUAAACAAAAUAUAAGUGUAAAAAUCUUUAAACCAUAAUGCUUACACGAGUCGUAUUUGUUGAAAACAAAACAAGUAUGAGUCGUAUGACCUGAACAAAACAAAAUCAAAUAAUAAACCGGAUCUAAUUGACCACUAACCGGAACCGGUUCAAUCGUGAAUUGACUCAAAUCCCAUUAAGCGGCGCAUCGUGAGAAAAAGAGCCAGCAACUGUUCAAAAUAUCUCAAUAGAUAGAUCAAAAAGCAAUCAUGGACACCAUCAUUCAUUAAUAAAUAAUCCUCUGAAACCUCCGUUUGAAUUAUUUCUAUCUUCUCUCCUCUUCUCACAUCGCAUCAUGGGUGCUUCAUCCUCUACAGAUAAUAAAGAAUCAUCGGAGAAGCGAGAAAUCGAAAGCCUCGCUGCUUCCACCGGUGCUCUUCCUCUCCUUCAACGCUCUUUCUCCAAGCUCGCCGAUCCUCAGACCAACACUGUUUCCUUCCAAUCAUUCAAGGUAAUAACGGUUAGGGUUCUGAUUGUUCUUAAAGAGAAUCUGGAUUUGCAAUCACAGUAGUUUUGGGAUUUGAUCGGAUCAUGAAUUAGGGUUUUUGAGACUGAGUUUGAUAAAGAUCGAACUGUAGAUCUCUCUGCUUUAGCUUUAUAAUGAGUUUCAUCAAUUUUUUGUUUGUUUUGUUUCUUAUUGUAGAAAAGUUUCACCUUGAGCUACAAGACAACUACUUGUGAAGGAGACCAGACAGUUCCAGAUUCGUUUCCGAGGUUGUUGGAGCAUUUAGGACCAUCUUUAGUAGAUUUGUUCUUCGUCCCUGAGAAAGGAGGAGGGUUGAGUUGGGUCGAGUUUGCUAGAGGUUAUGUCAAAUGCUGCGGAAGAAUGUCGGCUUCCAUGUCUUACAACAACACUCUGUUGAGAGUUUUUCAUCUGACAUCUCAAAACGCAGGCUUUUCGUCGAAGCUGGAGUUCGAAUCUGAAGAAGCUGAUUGUAAGAUCAACGGGUCGGUCUCGACUUUAGAGUUGGUUAUGUUUCUGUGGAUGUGUUGGACGAUGUCGUGGGAUGGUCGAAGCAGUAGAUCCACCGACUUGUUUCUUCCUGAUAUAAGCCACUUGAUUAUGUCAGCGCUUGUGUCUUGCACCGAAUCUGGAACUAGUUUGGAUGUUUGGGAUUCUGAUGUUUUCGGUUUGGAACUCGAGCUUCCUGUCGGGAAAUUCCUGACGUGGGCAUUGACGACGAUUCCAAGCCUCACUGAGUGUCUAUCUCACUUCUGCAACGCGAGGCUUCAGCAUUGUUUAAAUGCAGAGGUACUCUUUCUUUACUUGUUGCUUCUCGUUUACCCGUAAGGUGUUCACUAAAAGUGAAUUACAGGAUGGAUCUGGGCCUUCAAAGUCAGCUGGUGGAGAUGAUUCUGCGUCCAAGGCAUGUGAAAACACACUUCUUACAUGUGGAAGGGCAUGGGCGAUUUCUUUGACGUCCAAGAAUACCUUAAGUGAGGAGAUCUUGAGCUCAUGCUUUCCCUGCAAUGGCGAUGAACCCAAUGAAAAUCUUCUUUACCGGUAUCCCACUAUCCUACUUCUGUGAAGGUUCUGUCUCUAUAGUGUAACUUAACGUGUUCAAUGUUCAUCUGUCUUUUAGCUCAUACCAUCAUGGGAAAGGCAUGAAUCGAUUGUGGGACAACGUUCAAGGGUAUCAUGCUCCGAUACUAUUGCUAGUUUCUGCAAGCGGUGGAGUUGAGCAGGAGGGUACUUCAAGCGAGAGGAAGUGGGUCAUCGGUGCUAUCUUGCAGCAGGGUUUUGAGAACAGAGAUACAUUUUACGGAAGCUCUGGGAAUUUGUUCUCCAUUAGUCCUGUCUUUCACGCAUUCUCAUCUUCAGGUACUGCACAGAUUAAAAAAAAAUCAUCUGCGUGGUCAGUUGUUUUGCGUUAGUAUAGUCUUAUAUGGUUUUGUGUUCAACUUCUUCAGGGAAAGAGAAAAACUUUGCAUAUAGCCAUCUUCAUCCCUCUGGUAGAGUCUAUGACGCAAACCCAAAGCCUGUUGGAAUUGGAUUCGGGGGAACACAAGGAAACGAGAGAAUCUUCAUCGACGAAGACUUUGCUAAGAUCACAAUCCGUCAUCAUGCAGUUGAUAAAACUUACCAACCUGGCUCUCUCUUCCCAAACCAGGUAACGCAAGUGCUGGUCUUUAUAUAUGUUUCAAGUUUUGUGGUCUUGGGUCUUUAUAAACAUCUGUUGUUGCAGGGUUAUUUACCAGUAGAGGCUUUGGUGUCAGAUGUUGAAGCAUGGGCAUUAGGUGGAAAAGCAGCUAAGGAAGUUCAAGAAGCAUACAAGAAACGAGAAGAGCUUUUCACUGACCAACGUCGAAAGGUAAGAAAAGAUCAAUAAGAUCUAUUUAUAUGCAAAUGCACAAAGGACUUGCAGGUUUGACAAGUGUUUAAUGUAUCUGCAGAUUGAUUUGAAGACGUUUACGAAUUGGGAAGAUUCACCUGAGAAAAUGAUGAUGGAUAUGAUGGGGAAUCCUAAUGCUCCGGCUAGAGAAGAGAGGUAAUGAGUGAGGGGACCAAGACUUGUUUGGUAUAUUUAUGCACAUACAUUUUCUCAA
rnacentral:lncRNA from 1 species